UCCAUGCAGUGUGGGCCAGUGGGGGGCAGCGGGGAUUGCCCCAUACCUGGUAGCACCUGGUGAGCACUGAGGCUUUUUUUCCCUGAGUGCGGGGAGCCCAGGCAGGCAGGCAGGGCAGCCAUUGCUGGGCUGGGAGAGUGGGCAGAGAAUGGGCCUGACUGAUUCGGAGAUUCAGCAGCAGCCGAAUCUCCCAUUCAGAUUUGGCCGAAUUGAAUCGCUGUCCCCCGAAUCGGCCGAAUCUGAAUCCAAAGCAAAUAUUAGCCGCUUCACACAGGCCUACUGCUCAGGAUAACCUGAAAUAUUGGUGCCUAAGAAAUCCUUAAAUACUCUAGAUUAGAUGCAGAAGAUAGUAGCUGUGGACAGUUAGUGUCUGGUGUUCUAUGGAGUAAGCAGGAGAAGCAGGUAGUAGAUAAUGGAGUAGAUAAUGGAGAAGCAAGUAGUAGAUAACGGACUGACUAAAAUAUAGAAGGAGACUGGUUCGUUUCCCUAUAUAGUAUGGAGAGCACUUAAUUAGGGCUAUGGUGAUCACGAAGGGAGCUGACUGACUCAGAUCAAACAUCACAUAGUUAAGGCAGCCAGAAUCUGGACACAUGACUUUGACACUGCUGUAGUUUUGCACUGGCUUUUUUACAGUGGUAAAUUUCAGGCAAAUGACAUCUAUACUAUACUUGGUGUAGUUUUGCCCCUGACUUCUUUUUCCCUGGGUAAGUCUAUCCUGUAUCCAGGUAAGUUACACCAGUGGAGGGCUGUAUGCCAUGCAUCCAGGCCUAAAAGUCUUGAAAUAAUAGACAUUGAGGUGACAGAUUUUGGUGAAAAUGUCAAAGGCUUGUAUACUUGUCUCAAAAUACAUUUUUCUAAGCUCUGCUUUGGCUUCAUAUAAACUGUUUCUCUUUUGGAUUUAUCUGGAUUUCUCCAGUUACACAUUUGCUUUCACAAACCAGGAAUUGUCAGGCAACCUCACACGACUACACGACUUGUGUUUUGAACUACAUUUGUUUACUUCAUUUAGGGCCGACCACUUGAGUCUACCCUCACACUGACCUUACUGUUUGCAGGCGAACGCGAGCAGUUAUGUAAUAACAGUAGCAAAUGGUAAACAGAUUCAUAACUUUGAACAAUAGAAACAAACCCCAGCCUCCUAAACUAUUUUGUUUGCUGACUGUAUAUAAGCCAUUUCCAGCUGUUGUAAUACUUUGACCACAGUAUGUAAAUCUUAUGGAUGGGAUGGGAAUCUCUAAUAACUGGUGCAGAGUUUCCAUUAAACUUUGUUUUAAACUUGUGGAAAACGAGAAGCAUCCUUUAUAAAGGUCCAAAAAGCAUCCUAGACUGGCAAAUAAUAUGUGUAGAGAGGAAUUUCAGGCUAAAAAACCCCUCAAUAAUUAUUUAAAUAUUAUUUCUGGCCAAAUGCUGCCCACAUCUACAACUUCUUCAGGGACUGAAUUUGGACAAUAGCAUAUAAAGAUUCAGAAUAGUGAUCUAAGCAAAACUGGAAUAUAGCUGGGUCCUCCUUCUGUUCACUGCCUUUGUGACUGUCUUCAGAUUAAGACCAUGGCAUAUUACAAAAAUAGGUGAGUUUAAUGGUGGAAUAGGCUCACAUUUAGGUGCCUAGUACAGAUGGAAUAGGAUCUGGUUAUGGGAGUCUGAUUCUUAUUUAUAGUAAGACUACUUUUCACCACUCUUUCAGUAUGAACAGGUUUUCAAAUAGAUGCAACUAAUUUAUACCCAGUGAAGGCCCCUUUCCAUUUACGAAGUAUGUAAAGGGAAUUUAGUGUAAAUGAGAUCAGGCACAUUAUCCUUUUUGUGAUUAAUACAGAUGUUAUUAACAUUGCAAUAAUUUUAAUGUAUGGAGAAACACAUAGCUAAAUAACUGUAAUCUCUAUUUUGUUUAAUAGUUCAUAGUUGGUAGGGUUGGAAGGGACCUGAGCAGAUCAUCAAGUCUGACCCCCUGCCAUGGCAGGAAAAAGUACUGCAGUCAAACGACCCCAGCAAGGUGUUCAUCUAAUCUUCUUAUCUUUUAAAUUGAAGAACCAAAGCCACACAACUCAGUAUCCUUCAUGCUUGUGUUGGUCAAUAAAUGGGAGAGUUGUUGGAACUUUUGGUAUUGUUCAUAAUCUGGUUCUUGGGUGCUCAUAAAACAAAGCACACAAAGAAACAAUGGCAGAAAUCUGUUAAAAUGAUCAAUAUCAACCUCGAUCAACUGGAAUUUCAGAUACUAAAAACUGAGCAAUUAAAUGAUCUAAAGCACUUAAGUGCACCAAGGCAGUGGGGAGGAAAAAUCCUGAAUACAAUAUAUAAUAAAAUACAUCCCACAUUGUUUGGUUUUGAAGAUAUUUUAAAUGUAUGAAAUGAUUCUUAUGAUAGCUUGGAUGGAUUAUUUUACUUGUAAUUAAUAACAUUAUUUCAAUGUCAUGUGGCCAGUCUAUAUGUAAAAGUUCUAUAUAUAUAAGUUCAAUCUAUGUUGGCUGGGAUGUGGUGCUGCUGACAUAGUUAUAGUUUAUAAAUGCCCUAGAGUAGAUGCAAUUAUACUGGGGUAGCUUAUUUUGAUUCCUGAACCAAACUGAAAUAAGCUAUACUUGUACAAACAACUUUAUAAUUGUGUAACCAUAGAAAUCCCUAGCGAAACCCCAGUAUGGGUUUGCUUUAACUAUACUGGUAUAAUUAAAGAGGCAAAACCUUCUAGUGUAGACAAACACACACUCUUUCUCUGUAGUAGUUGCACCAAGGUAAAUACUGGUACUGGAGUAGUGUUUUUUUUCCACCCCCAGCUACAUCCUGAAUUUACAAAUAAGAAAGUGAAGAUGCAACAGAACAGGUUCAAUCCAGGAGUGCAUGAGUAGAGCCAUCUUUUGAUUUCAAGGUGUCCUUCCUUCUCACUGCCUGAUUCCCUUAACAGGAUUCCAAGUUACAGAUAUUCUGGUACCUCCAGAGCUAAGUAUCAGAUGGAACAGUAAAACUCCAUAUGCAGAAACAGGAUAUAAGGAAAAAUAUCAGAUAGCCAACAGAUGAGAUGCAGUAAAAACCUGGUAAUGGAAGAAUAAGAAGUUUCUGGAGGAUUGUUAUCACCUGUGAAGCACAGAGGUUCAUGAGUAUCAGGUAGGUACCCAUGAAGAGCUGUGUUUUGUGGCAGCCAGUAAUACACAAGAACAAUGUUUUUCUCACUUAGUGGAGUAAGAUUGGGGAAAAUAGUGAAGCAAGUUUUAUGCUAAAUUAAAGUCUAGCCUGCUUUCUGCUGAAGUCAAUGGCAAAAUUGCCAUUGGUUUCCCUGGCACAGAACUGGGCUCCUAUACUUUUUUGCACUGUGAUUACUUUUCAGUGCAGCUGCUGUCCCAUAAUAUCAGAGUCUGAUCGCUACAAUCAUUACUUCAGUAAAACUCCCAUUCAUUUCUAAGGAAACUUUGACUGCAAGAUCAGGUUGUUUGGGUGCAUAUGUCAUGUUCACAUGGAUGGAUGUAGCACAUUCUGUUUAUAGAAAGAUAUAGAUUAAAGAGAGGAACAGAAUUGGCCACUUAUUUUUGAAAUUCCUUUAGCCAAAGAUUACACAACUGUAUGCAUGCAUCAGCUUCAUCUGAGACAGAAUGGGAAUUCUUUCAUUGCCCCAGAGGCUUGCUAACAACACACAGUAAAUGAAAAGGCUAAACAUAAAAGGCCUGAUAUUCAUUUAUACUAAGGCCAUUUUAUACCACUCUGGGAGUGCAAAUUGGCCUUAAAAGAGGAGUAUUGUAGUAUUAUACCAGAAUAGUAUAAGGAAGCCUUGGUAUAAAUGAAAAUCAGACCCAAACUAAGUAAUACUGAACUAGAAUUAAAGUCUCUCAUGGAUUUAGAACUUGUUACAUUUGAUUAAAAAAAAUCUAAUGACAUUUUAGCAAAAGUUUCAAACCGGAUGGAAUUUGGGAUAGAGGGCUGCAAUUUCUUUUGUAAACACAAGCUUCCUGGGAUAGUUUGCUGAGGUUUUAAUGCUGUAAAAGUACAUAGAAUGUAACUCUCUGUUAAAAAGGUCUGUCUCCAGUUUUACAGAGCUAGUCAAAUUAUUGGCAGCCAGAGUUGUGUGGGAGGUGAAAUCUAGAGUGAGUAAGGAAAUGGAAACUAUGGGCCAAAUUUGUAUCUUGGUGACGCUGAUGUAAAUCCAGAUAAAAUCCCCUAAAGUCAAUUAAAAUUAUCCUGGGUUUAUAUUGGCAUAAUCGAUACCAGAUCUGGUCCUCCUCUUUUAGGAAUUUACUGGGUAAGUUAUCUGGAGAAUUGAACACAUUCCUGUUAUGGAAUGAAGGCUUUUUUCUCGUACUAACCAUACCAGCCAGGUCAGGAGAAAAUGAAGAAAGAUAUAAGACAAGAAAGAAAGAGAUUCUAAGGACUGAAAUGGAAGGAAGCAAAUAAUUACACAGUUUUCACUGGAACACCUUCCUGAGAAGUACAGACAAGAAUGACUAAGAAAACAACCACAUAUACCAAACUAGUGGAAACUUCAUAAGCAUGCAGUCAUGUACACACUAUUCCCAGUUCAGUAUUCAAAUGUGUUGGAAUAAAAAAAAAAAAAGGGUUCUUAUCUGGUGUGAUGGUAGUGCAUCUUUAUUGAUUUAUUUCCAGCCCCAAAUUCACGUUUGGGUGUAAGACAAAGGUAUUUAUUUGCGUCUGAAGAGAUCAGAAACUCCAUAUUAACAUCUACAAACCUAGAAGGAGAUUAGAUAGCUAGCAUUACAUGAGGGUUCAGAUGCAGGUGCUUCAAAGUGGAGCAUCUUCAUUAACUUGUGUCUGUAAAUGCCAGGAGCAGGGCUCAGCUGAUGCAGCAUAGCACUGCUCCCAGCUGUUUUCAGAAUGGGAGGUGGGGAAGGGAGUGAAAGGAGCUCAUUUUGGGGGUUGCCUAGCUAGCACUGGAGGGUGGGGCAGAUGGAUUAGACCCUGCCCGAGGUGGGGGUAGGGCUCCAAUCCCCCUCCCCAUCCCCCCCCCCACACACUCCAGCAUGGCUGGGGAAAUCCCAGAAUGGACCUCCCUACCCUGUGUCUCCCACCCCUGCCUCCCAUCCUGAGACAGAAUGGGGGCUGGGAGAGUGGGGUGGAGCUAGGGGAAGAGGCUGCCGAGAUGCAGCCUCUCUCCCUGAAUCAGCUCCAAAUUGGAGCUCAGUCUCCCACCAUCCCAACCCAACAGCUGAUAUCUGUUGAGUCAGGAGGAUUGGUCUCACUCAUGGCAUUUUUUCUGUGAAGUGCCAUGUGUUAGACCCAGGAAUUGCACUUCUGUCUUCACCUCAGAUGGAACUUAGGAGCAGUGGUGCAGAUCACUGCCGGUAUAAAGCUAUGCAGCUCCACAGCAGUCAGUUCUCCUGAAGUCAGUGGAAAUGCAUUUAUUUAUACCAGAGCUGUCCAACUUUGGCAUGACUCUCAGGUUGCACACCACACGUGCUUCCCUUUCCUCUGCUUUCCCCCUCUUCGCCCCUUAUGGGCAGGCAGUACUGGUGGCAUCCAACUCCCUGGGAUCCUGAACCCUGGUCAUGGGGAGUACUUUUGGGUUGUGGUCCUUUGCUCCCUGCCAUGUGGACUGCACAGACAGUGUAUGGCACCCCACCUCCCAGCAUCUGACCCUCCUGGGUCCUCCCCUGUCAUGUGGCAGUGGGAGAGGCAUCUGCAGGGGCCUACAGGCUGUGUGCUAGCCACUUGCAGGCCAAUAAAAUGAUAAACUUGAGCAGACAAAAUUGUUUUGUGUUCCUGAGCAUUUAAAACUUCUCAGUAGGUUGUAGAGUCAGUUCCACAGAAACAUUCUACAGAAGAGAAAUAAAAUGCUGAAUGAGAGCAGCCUAUAAUGUAUUUCUGAAAGAUAUGGGAGCCAUAGAUGGGCAAAUUGGGUAAGGCUUUUUCUGAAGAGUUUUAGUGCUCUUAAGGUCUCUUAGUAUAGAACCAUAGGCUGGAAGGGACAUCAAGAAGUCCUUUAGUUUAGUCUUCUGUUUCAAGCAGGAUCAUAUGUAUUUAAAACAUUCCAGUCAAGCAUUUGUCUAACCUGCUCUUACACUUCCAUAACUUGUUUAGGUGAUCUAUGCUGAUGCUUUGACCACCCUCAUAAUUACAAAGUUCUUCCUGAUUAUCCAGUCUAAAUUUCCCUUGCUGCAAUUUGAGACCAUUAUUCUCCCAGGAUGCAGGUAAUGGACUGGGAGCAGUCCACUUUAUAACCACCCUUCAGGUGUUUGAAUAUUGUUAUCAAAUCCCUCCUCAGCCUUCUCAUCUCUAGACUAAAUAAUACCAGUUAUUCCAAGCUAUUCUAGUCAUGUUUCCUGGUUCUCUAAUCACUUUUGUUGCUUUCUGCUAGAUUGGAUGUCUUUCUCAAAGAUUUGCUGUAGUUCAUACAGAAAUAAUCAAAUGGAUGUGGAAAUUAUUGGGUCAGGUUCUUUGGCCUAUGUUAUGCAAAAUGUUUAACUAAAAGAUCCCACUGGUUCCUUCUGGCUUUAAAAAUUCUAUGAAUUGCUGAGUGCUCUGUAUUACUGCUUGGUCGAUUACCCUAGUCUACUUGUCAUCUUCAGAUCUCUUAGGGAACAGAAAAGAAACAACAACCUUCACUCCUAGGGGAGUGAAGACCCUAUUCUUCCUUCUGUAUCUCAAUUCUGUAGGGUUAGCUAUGAACACUAUCAGCCCAAGGGUAUUAAAAGAUUCAUCUAGCUUAGUGUGGGAGAUGUGUGUUUCUGCAAGAGUGUGCAUCUGCCAGGCUUCUUAGUUUCCUAAACUUUAAUGCUUACUUUGCAUUCUCAAUCCAAAUUCAUUCUUAGGAUGAGGAAGGAGAGCCAGCUGGCAUCAAAAAUCUUUACCAAAUGAGCAGGAAAUAGCAUGUAUGAAAUUACAGACAAGGUGUAAAGUCUAAUUAUUUCUAAUUUAAUUUCUAUUUAAAUGAAAUUUAUAUUGAAGUUGUUGGGCAACUUUUCUGUUUUUAGAAGAGAUAAGCUUUUGUGACCCCUUGUACAACUGUACCUAGUUCCUCAUAUCUGUAUUUGUGGAAGAGAGAUGUGACAGCUGCCAUAUGCCACUAAAAUGCAUCUUGAGAUGCAAGAAUGGCUGAUAAUGUACAAGAAGCCUGCAUGGUUUUUCAUUUCUGUUAGUAAUUAAUUAUAUCCAUUGGUGAUGCAUAGUGGGUGCAUGUGGGUACAUGUGCACCCCCUGAGAUCAGCCAUGCACCCUCUGGAAGAGCAGCACCAGGCUGAUUCUUCCCAGUGCUCAGAGUGGGUGUGUCGAGCUCUGAGAACAGCCCAGUGCCCCCAGAUCUGGAUGCAGGAUGACAGCAGCCUGCUGCUGCAGGUUGGGGCCAGUGGUGGCACUGGGCUGUUCCUGGUGCUCGGUGCGCCCGCCCUGAGUGCUGGGAAGAAUCAGCCAGGUGCUGUUGCCAGCCCCAGCCUGCAGCAGCAGCCUGCUGUUGUCCUGCAUGCAGAUCCAGUGGCACGCGCCCCCAAGGAGAGCCUGACGCAGCCCCCCAGCCCACAGCCCUCUCGGGGUGUGGAACAGCAAGAGGUGCACCCCAUCCCCCUCCCCCGCCCAGACUCGCUGAUAGUUCCCAUUGCAGCUGGUGCUGGUCACUCCUGGGGCUGUUGUAGUGGGGGCUAGGGUGAAUGUUGACAAGUUACAUCAUGUCCCAUGCCGCCUUGGGAUCUGCUUGCUGUCACUCCCCCCAGCCCCUGUUGUAGCGGCCCUGGGAGCAGCUGACACCAGCUGCCUGCACUGUGGCAUGGCGCAGCCCAGGAGCUGGAGUGAGUGGGGACAGGAGGAGCUCAGGCAUAGGGGGGACAGGCAGGGCACGGUGUGGCCCUGGGAAUGGCACCCCUCCCCCCGCCCCUUCCCUAGUCCCAGCCUCACUCCCUUCCUCCCUCAUUGCCUUGGGAACCUAUUCCUAUUUGUUACAUUAUAAAGUGUGUUCACUUUAUAUGAGGGGAACCUGUAUAGCUUAUGGCUGUAUAGCUUAUGGCUCAGGGGCUGAAUCUCCGAAUCAGCCCCAAACCUCUCCAAAUUGAUUCAGUGGCUUCUGAUUUGAUUUGGACCUCUUAAUGGGCCUCCUGAUUCAAUUUGGAUUCAGAGAUUCAGCCCCUGAAUCAGGCCGAAUCUCCUCCGAAUCGAAUCGACUACUGAAGCUUUGCAUAGGCCUAGUGAAAAUACUCCAAAAUAGUACCUCUUCAAAAGAAGUGCUAAUUUGGAGUGUUUCUCUUUUGGUUACCUGUGAAAGGGGCAGCACUUGGAAGCUGGGUUUGGUCUGGAACCAAACUCACCUCUUUCCAUCCUCCCCCCCACCCCCUUCCCUCCUUGCCAGGCCUCUGAUGAAGCCUGAUACCUGGACUUCCAGUCCCAAAACCCUCUACCCCCUCCUCUGAUGAGGAGAGGAGAAGUUUAGGGGAUCUGGUAGCUCCUGCUGAUCCUCCAUCCUUCUUACCUCUCCAAUGUGGCUGACUUCUGAAAGUGGAACCACAGAUUGUUGCCACCUCCUCUAGCACAUCCUGGCUGGCACCAGGGAAGACUGGCAUUUGGAAACUUUCCAAUCAGGAAUGGAACGGGGGCUCUACAUGCAUCCCCUGGCUAAAACAUUUCCUUUUUGAAGCAUUUAUAAGUAACCAUAAAAAUGAAGGCACAGACAGGUCUUUUCUUUUGACUCCACAAGCCAUAGGAGAUAGAAUUCACAGCUCUACCAUUGACUGCUUGGCCUGCACCAGUUUCCUUGUAUGCAAGAACUGUGCCAGCAACCAGUUUAAUCCCUGAUUCUAGAUUCUAUUCCCGUUACAUGAGAGCCCCAAGACUAUGGGAACCAAAGUGUUUAAACCUCUUGUUUAUGUUAAAUAUCUUAUUUUGAUUUUUGUUGUCAAUUAAGUGGAAGACAGCAUAGCUUUCUAUUAUUUUGGGAUGUGAAUUUGGCUGGGAAUAUGAAUGUGUGUCCUGGGACUUCCUGUAGAAAGCAUACUGAGAAAUACCAAAGAAUAAUUUCUUACAUUUUUAAUUCUUCCAAGAAACUGGGCUUUCCUACUUUUGUGGAUGAACCCAGAGAAAAUAAGCUAUUAAUAUUUGUAUAUGAAGUGAAAGGACUACUAAACAUUUUCAUAAAAUAAUCUUUUUUGAUGUCUGUAAUUUGUCUUGGUAGGAGAAGGAAACAGAGUAACCACCAUACAAUAAAGAAAUAUAAGGAGGAAGCAUUAAUGGCUUUUGAGAUUAAAAAAAUGGUUCUGGUGCUAAAUGCUUACCUGCUAAUAGUUGAUUUUACUGCUGUGGGUAAAAGUUUGCUAAUUGUGGUUGAUGGCUAGAAAAUGAUAUUUAGAGAUUGUCUUUAGGAACUGGCUUGUAGGUAGAGUAGAUGUGCAUUAUAACAAUAUUCCAAGGCAAUGACAGGGGUUAAUUGGUUUCUAAAAGCCUGUUUGUGACAAAGUUUCCUUCAAGGCAGACACCACAUCUGAGGUGAAGGGACAAAUGAGCAUAAACAGACUGGGAAAUUGAAAACAAGUACCACACUGUUCCAUAACAUGAGAUAAGGGACUCUGCCACAUUGGCUCGGUCACAGUGCCUACCUGCAGAGCCCUUGGGAUUUCUGAUUUUGGUGGAUGGACCAAAUUAAGACAAUGGUAAAUGACCAAAUUAAGAUGUGUGCAUGUGAUGUGUGUGGGAAACAAAGGAUGCUGACAGAACAGAACAUGGACAGUAUGAUGACCACAGGGAGAUCAAUCAACAAUGCACACGAAUGAAGAGGCAUCAGAGGAUAGAGAAUACAAAAGGAGGGAUUUCAGAGCAGAAGAGGUGCCCCGGGGGGAACCCGAGGCCACCAUGGACCAAGGAAAUACCACCAUCCCAUCUUAUGUUUGCCUUGCCUUCAUUAUUCUUAUCUGCCAUCAAUAAAAUUUUCCUGUUAUCAAAUGGAGACGUCAUGGUUGGUCUGAGGGUUUGGGUCCUCCUGGAACAAGGUAUCUGGGUCAUAAAUCUAGUGCCAACAGUGGCUGGUAACUAAAUUAAUCAUUGAACUUCCUGCUUUUGGAUUUGUAAGUUUAAUUUUCUGCUCUGUUUAAUUUUAUUACCCAACUAAAUUGCUGAUUUAAUUCCAAUAUCACAGUUAACUUAACUAUUUCAGUUGGUUUUAACAUUAAUUUGAUCAUUGAGUUGUUCAACUUGUGAUUACCAUAAUAGCAUUUAUUGUAGUUAAGCUUCAGUGUUGUUUUCUACAUUUUUAACUUGAUUUAUGAAUUUACCAAAAUGUUUCCAGUCAUAUUUAUUUUAAAGAAAGUAUUUAUUUAGUUCAUAAACUUUUCCAGUCAUAUUUAUUUUAAUAAACAUAUCUUAAAGAAACCAAAGAUUUUAUGGUGGGUAUUAUCUAACCAACCCAGGACCCUAAUAAGU